UAAGGGCACUGAUACCAUUUUAACUUUUUCACAUAUUCUUUGUCUUGUAAAGAGAUGACUCACAUACCUAUGCCUUAAAUUUAGUCCUAACCCUCAACUCGGGGCAGCAGCAGGAGCUCUGCCUGCCCGUGGGUCCUGUCCCCAUGCCAGCGGGGGCAGCAGUAGCGGCUCUGCCUGCCCAUGGGCUCUGUCCCCAUGCCAGCGGGGGCAGCAGAAGCGGCGGCAGCAGAAGCUCUGACUGCCCAUGGCUCCUGUUCCCAUGCUAUUCUAUACUAUUCUCUAAAUAAAAGAGCACUACUGCCAGAUCUUGAGAGUCUAAGAAAUCUUUCUUUCGACUCCUCGGCUCACCGACCCCGCAUCAUUUCUGGUGGCCCGUACAGGGAUCUCGCUUCAUCGGCUUGUGAGCUCGAGUUCUGGACACAUUGGUUAUAUUACCAAGGCUUUGACUGGAAUGUCAUAUUUGAAACAUACAGGCUCAGAUAUGACAAGACAGCUUUUCAGGAACAAAGAUUGGACUUUCUGGAAUACAGCCACUUGGAAUCAUGGGCCUGGUACCUUGUUUACAGAGAUUCUGGCAAUCUUACCCGGUAAGUAAGGAAGCUUGCUUAUCUGGCAGGUGCAAGGAACCUCAGAAUAUUUUGGAGGACCUCGAGGAGAGAGGAGUCCACCCAAAUCUGGAGGUACUGCAGGGAAAAUCUGACAGCAUGUCCUUGGCUUGGCUUUUCUGGCCUCGAGAGGCCUUUACAGUUCAAUCUGAGAUUCCUCAUAAAAAAUUCCAGCAAAGCAGAUUUAAAAAGCCGGUAUAGUCAAUUGCCAUUCUUGCUGUACUUAUGUAAAUAAUUGGACCAAGUUUUAUUGAAACUACACUUAUUUUGCAAACCAGUUUAUCUUAAUUUGGCUAUCUUUUGUGAAAAUGAGGGUGAUUUUAGAGAGAAAAAAUUAUGUUUCAUUAGAAACUAUAGUACGCAUUUAUGGAUAUUAGAUUCUAGCUCUUCUCCUCUACAAGAUUCAUCUAUUACUAAUCACUAAUUAUAAUGUCUCCUUGUGGCCAUCUGUCUCUGACACCUGGGAGCACCCUGGCCACAAUCAAACCUUUUCCUUCAAUACUACUGCCCAAAUACUAACUAGAUUUGCCUUGUCACAGGUGGAUCAUAAACAACAAGUUCCAAAGGUAAAGUCCCCAACUUAUGGAUACACACAGGAUGGACUAUAUCAAAUUUGGGACGAAUAUAUUUGGCUCACUCCUACUAGUGGUCAACUCAGUCAAAAGGCCACUAUAUGUUGGGAACAGACCAAUCACACUUGUGAUACGUGGCCUAAUAGCACCCGACCUAUGGGACAAAUUCCCCGUCAUAUGUGUUCUCAUAUCAUAAGCUUAAAAAAUACUGAUUGGUUUGGGACUGACUGGGAUAGACGGCCUAGCAUACGUUGGUUAGCCCCUAAUGGCACUGGAUGUCUUGACAGCAGCACAGGGGGGCACUUGUGCCAUUAUAAAAACUGAAUGUUGUGUUUAUAUUCCUGACUACCAUCGAAAUAUCUCUGGCUUCCUAUCUGAUAUGAGCCACCAAGUUAAGUCCAUGUCUGACCCUGACCUAUCUCUAAAUGAUUGGUUGAACUCUUGGUCAGGUCCAGGUUUCUGGACUACUAUCAAAACCUUAUUCAUUGGGUUAAUCAUCUUGCUUGUAUUUCUUAUUAUAAUUUGUUGCCUAUUUCGUUGUUUGUCUUCCACACGUCAACAAAGUUUCACCUCCUGGACCACCUCUCAUCAAACUGUACACCUUGUCAGCCUUGGACACCACGGGUGCAGCCUUCCGGUCCGCUGAGCCUCCUACCUGUACCCAUGGCCCCAUUUAGGGACAGCUCUACGACCUUGUACAACCGGAAGUAGUUACAGAAGACUGACCAUCGUCCAUAUCCCCAAAAGAUUUCGGGGCCAAAAUGGGUUCAGGGGGGGUUUAUGAUGAGGACUUUUAGGCUGCUUAAUUUUAAAAUGGCUUAUGAUGAGGAUUUUUAGGCUGGUUAGUUUUAAAACUACAGAUGAGAUUCAGGCUCCAAGGAGUGGAAUUUGUUUUGCCCCUUUGUUGGGAAACAUUUACAUUUCUAAGGGAAACCUCUAUCUGUGAAGAUGCCUCCCUCUCUGUGCCAGGAAGAAGGGGGGAUGGCCUUAUCUCUAGAAGCUCUUAAUCAAUGCGAGAGGCAAGAACUUAAGUUGGUUGCUGUCUGGCAACCUCAUGUAACUGACCCUCCCCCCCACAAAUCCUCCUUUGUCUUUAGCCAAGGAUAAAAUUCAAGCGUGACUUCUGCCAUUUACUCAAUCCGGUUUGAUUCUUAUCUUAUCUAAAAGUUGUGGGACCGCCAAAUGGCCAGGCCAUAAGGGCACUGAUACCAUUUUAACUUUUUCACAUAUUCUUUGUCUUGUAAAGAGAUGACUUACAUACCUAUGCCUUAAAUUUAGUCCUAACCCUCAACUCGGGGCAGCAGCAGGAGCUCUGACUGCCCGUGGGUCCUGUCCCCACGCACCAGCUCUGCCUGCCCGUGGGUCCUGUCUCCAUGCCAGCGGGGGCAGCAGCAGCGGCUCUGCCUGCCCAUGGGCUCUGUCCCCAUGCCAGCGGGGGCAGCAGAAGCGGCGGCAGCAGAAGCUCUGACUGCCCAUGGCUCCUGUUCCCAUGCUAUUCUAUACUAUUCUCUAAAUAAAAGAGCACUACUGCCAGAUCUUGAGAGUCUA
rnacentral:lncRNA from 1 species